rnacentral:rRNA from 1 species
CGCGUAGGCGGUCACUAAAGUCAGAUGUGAAAGCCCUCGGCUUAACCGAGGAAGUGCAUUUGAUACUGAGUGACUUGAGUAUGGGAGAGGGAAGCGGAAUUCCUGGUGUAGCGGUGAAAUGCGUAGAUAUCAGGAGGAACACCGGUGGCGAAGGCGGCUUCCUGGACCAAUACUGACGCUGAGGCGCGAAGGCGUGGGGAGCAAACA